GUCAUAGUGAUCCGGUGGUUCUGAAUGGAAGGGCCAUCGCUCAACGGAUAAAAGGUACUCCGGGGAUAACAGGCUGAUACCGCCCAAGAGUUCAUAUCGACGGCGGUGUUUGGCACCUCGAUGUCGGCUCAUCACAUCCUGGGGCUGAAGUAGGUCCCAAGGGUAUGGCUGUUCGCCAUUUAAAGUGGUACGCGAGCUGGGUUUAGAACGUCGUGAGACAGUUCGGUCCCUAUCUGCCGUGGGCGCUGGAGAACUGAGGGGGGCUGCUCCUAGUACGAGAGGACCGGAGUGGACGCAUCACUGGUGUUCGGGUUGUCAUGCCAAUGGCACUGCCCGGUAGCUAAAUGCGGAAGAGAUAAGUGCUGAAAGCAUCUAAGCACGAAACUUGCCCCGAGAUGAGUUCUCCCUGACUCCUUGAGAGUCCUGAAGGAACGUUGAAGACGACGACGUUGAUAGGCCGGGUGUGUAAGCGCAGCGAUGCGUUGAGCUAACCGGUACUAAUGAACCGUGAGG
rnacentral:rRNA from 1 species